rnacentral:rRNA from 1 species
UACGGGAAGCAGCAGUGAGGAAUUUUUCACAAUGGACGAAAGUCUGAUGGAGCAAUACCAUGUGAACGAUGAAGGUCUUCUGAUUGUAAAGUUCUUUUAUUUAGGAAAAAAAGCUUGAGAGGAAAUGAUUAAGCCUUGAUUGUACUAAAUGAAUAAGUGACAGCUAACUAUGUGCCAGCAGCUGCGGUAAAACAUAGGUCACGAGCAUUAUCCGGAUUUAUUGGGCGUAAAGGAAGCGUAGGCGGACAARUUGAUCUAUUGUGAAAGGCACUUGCUCAACGAGUUGUUUGUGAUAGAUAUCGUUUGUCUAGAAUUAGUUAGGAGAUACUGGAAUUCAAUGUGUAGCGGUGGAAUGCGUAGAUAUAUUGAGGAACACCAGAGGCUAAAGCGAGUAUCUAGGACAUAAUUGACGCUGAGGCUUGAAAGCGUGGGGAGCAAAUGGGAUUAGAUACCCCAGUAGUCCACGCCGUAAACGAUGGGUAUUAGGUAUUUGGUUUAGGACUGAGUGCUGUAGCUAACGCGUUAAAUACCCCGCCUGGGUAGUAUAUAUGCAAAUAUGAAACUCAAAGAAAUUGACGGGGACCUGAACAAGUGGUGGAGCAA